rnacentral:rRNA from 1 species
GAUGAACGCUGGCGGCGUGCCUAAUACAUGCAAGUCGAGCGAACAGACGAGGAGCUUGCUCCUCUGACGUUAGCGGCGGACGGGUGAGUAACACGUGGAUAACCUACCUAUAAGACUGGGAUAACUUCGGGAAACCGGAGCUAAUACCGGAUAAUAUAUUGAACCGCAUGGUUCAAUAGUGAAAGACGGUUUUGCUGUCACUUAUAGAUGGAUCCGCGCCGCAUUAGCUAGUUGGUAAGGUAACGGCUUACCAAGGCAACGAUGCGUAGCCGACCUGAGAGGGUGAUCGGACACACUGGAACUGAGACAGGGCCGAGACACCUAGGGGAGGCAGCAGUAGGGAAUCUUCCGCAAUGGACGAAAGCCUGACGGAGCAACGCCGCGUGAGUGAUGAAGGUCUUCGGAUCGUAAAACUCUGUUAUUAGGGAAGAACAAAUGUGUAAGUAACUAUGCACGUAUUGACGGUACCUAAUCAGAAAGCCACGGCUAACUACGUG